rnacentral:rRNA from 1 species
GGCGGACGGGUGAGUAACACGUGGAUAACCUACCUAUAAGACUGGGAUAACUUCGGGAAACCGGAGCUAAUACCGGAUAAUAUUUUGAACCGCAUGGUUCAAAAGUGAAAGACGGUCUUGCUGUCACUUAUAGAUGGAUCCGCGCUGCAUUAGCUAGUUGGUAAGGUAACGGCUUACCAAGGCAACGAUGCAUAGCCGACCUGAGAGGGUGAUCGGCCACACUGGAACUGAGACACGGUCCAGACUCCUACGGGAGGCAGCAGUAGGGAAUCUUCCGCAAUGGGCGAAAGCCUGACGGAGCAACGCCGCGUGAGUGAUGAAGGUCUUCGGAUCGUAAAACUCUGUUAUUAGGGAAGAACAUAUGUGUAAGUAACUGUGCACAUCUUGACGGUACCUAAUCAGAAAGCCACGGCUAACUACGUGCCAGCAGCCGCGGUAAUACGUAGGUGGCAAGCGUUAUCCGGAAUUAUUGGGCGUAAAGCGCGCGUAGGCGGUUUUUUAAGUCUGAUGUGAAAGCCCACGGCUCAACCGUGGAGGGUCAUUGGAAACUGGAAAACUUGAGUGCAGAAGAGGAAAGUGGAAUUCCAUGUGUAGCGGUGAAAUGCGCAGAGAUAUGGAGGAACACCAGUGGCGAAGGCGACUUUCUGGUCUGUAACUGACGCUGAUGUGCGAAAGCGUGGGGAUCAAACAGGAUUAGAUACCCUGGUAGUCCACGCCGUAAACGAUGAGUGCUAAGUGUUAGGGGGUUUCCGCCCCUUAGUGCUGCAGCUAACGCAUUAAGCACUCCGCCUGGGGAGUACGACCGCAAGGUUGAAACUCAAAGGAAUUGACGGGGACCCGCACAAGCGGUGGAGCAUGUGGUUUAAUUCGAAGCA